rnacentral:rRNA from 1 species
CAGUUGCCAGCUCGUCCUCCGGGAUGGUGGGGACACUGUUGGGACCGCUCUGCUAAAGAGGAGGAAGGAAUGGGCAACGGUAGGUCAGCAUGCCCCGAAUUAUCUGGGCUACACGCGGGCUACAAUGGGUGGGACAAUGGGUAUCGACACCGAAAGGUGAAGGCAAUCUCCUAAACCCAUCCGUAGUUCGGAUUGUGGGCUGCAACUCGCCCACAUGAAGCUGGAAUCUGUAGUAAUCGUGUCUCAAAAUGGCACGGUGAAUAUGUCCCUGCUCCUU